rnacentral:piRNA from 1 species
UGGAAGCAGACGAGACUGAGGAUGUGAC